UACGAAGGGGGCUAGCGUUGCUCGGAAUCACUGGGCGUAAAGCGCACGUAGGCGGCUUACUAAGUCAGGGGUGAAAUCCUGGAGCUCAACUCCAGAACUGCCUUUGAUACUGGUGAGCUCGAGUCCGGGAGAGGUGAGUGGAACUGCGAGUGUAGAGGUGAAAUUCGUAGAUAUUCGCAAGAACACCAGUGGCGAAGGCGGCUCACUGGCCCGGUACUGACGCUGAGGUGCGAAAGCGUGGGGAGUAAACAGG
rnacentral:rRNA from 1 species